ACGAACGCUGGCGGCGUGCUUAACACAUGCCAGUCGCACGGAAAGGCCCUGCUUUUGUGGGGUGCUCGAGUGGCGAACGGGUGAGUAACACGUGAGUAACCUGCCCUUGACUUUGGGAUAACUUCAGGAAACUGGGGCUAAUACCGGAUAGGAGCUCCUGCUGCAUGGUGGGGGUUGGAAAGUUUCGGCGGUUGGGGAUGGACUCGCGGCUUAUCAGCUUGUUGGUGGGGUAGUGGCUUACCAAGGCUUUGACGGGUAGCCGGCCUGAGAGGGUGACCGGCCACAUUGGGACUGAGAUACGGCCCAGACUCCUACGGGAGGCAGCAGUGGGGAAUAUUGCACAAUGGGCGGAGGCCUGAUGCAGCGACGCCGCGUGCGGGAUGACGGCCUUCGGGUUGUAAACCGCUUUCGCCUGUGACGAAGCGUGAGUGACGGUAAUGGGUAAAGAAGCACCGGCUAACUACGUG
rnacentral:rRNA from 1 species